CUCCUACUUCCUCCGUUCGAAAUUACUUGUCUUGAAAAUGGAUGUAUCUAGAACUAAAAUACGUCUAGAUACAUUCAUUUUCGCGACAAGUAAUUCCGAACGGAGGGAGUAGUAC
rnacentral:pre_miRNA from 1 species